GAUGAUGCCCAGCUUGCUGGGCGGAUUAGUGGCGAACGGGUGAGUAAUACGUGAGUAACCUGCCCUUGACUCUGGGAUAAGCCUGGGAAACUGGGUCUAAUACUGGAUACUACCUCUUACCGCAUGGUGGGUGGUGGAAAGGGUUUUACUGGUUUUGGAUGGGCUCACGGCCUAUCAGCUUGUUGGUGGGGUAAUGGCUCACCAAGGCGACGACGGGUAGCCGGCCUGAGAGGGUGACCGGCCACACUGGGACUGAGACACGGCCCAGACUCCUACGGGAGGCAGCAGUGGGGAAUAUUGCACAAUGGGCGGAAGCGUGAUGCAGCGACGCCGCGUGAGGGAUGACGGCCUUCGGGUUGUAAACCUCUUUCAGUAGGGAAGAAGCGAGAGUGACGGUACCUGCAGAAGAAGCGCCGGCUAACUACGUGCCAGCAGCCGCGGUAAUACGUAGGGCGCAAGCGUUGUCCGGAAUUAUUGGGCGUAAAGAGCUCGUAGGCGGUUUGUCGCGUCUGCUGUGAAAGCCCGGGGCUCAACCCCGGGUCUGCAGUGGGUACGGGCAGACUAGAGUGCAGUAGGGGAGACUGGAAUUCCUGGUGUAGCGGUGAAAUGCGCAGAUAUCAGGAGGAACACCGAUGGCGAAGGCAGGUCUCUGGGCUGUUACUGACGCUGAGGAGCGAAAGCAUGGGGAGCGAACAGGAUUAGAUACCCUGGUAGUCCAUGCCGUAAACGUUGGGCACUAGGUGUGGGGGACAUUCCACGUUUUCCGCGCCGUAGCUAACGCAUUAAGUGCCCCGCCUGGGGAGUACGGCCGCAAGGCUAAAACUCAAAGGAAUUGAC
rnacentral:rRNA from 1 species